rnacentral:rRNA from 1 species
CAGUCGCCGCGGGAAUACGAGGGGAGCUAGCGUUGUUCGGAAUUACUGGGCGUAAAGCGCGCGUAGGCGGCUUUUUAAGUCAGAGGUGAAAGCCCGGGGCUCAACCCCGGAAUUGCCUUUGAAACUGGAAAGCUAGAAUCUUGGAGAGGUCAGUGGAAUUCCGAGUGUAGAGGUGAAAUUCGUAGAUAUUCGGAAGAACACCAGUGGCGAAGGCGACUGACUGGACAAGUAUUGACGCUGAGGUGCGAAAGCGUGGGGAGCAAACAGGAUUAGAUACCCCGGUAGUCCCUGUCUCUUAUAC